rnacentral:sRNA from 1 species
GCGCUGUCUACCAGUUCCUGAGAGGGACGCGUGCCGCGGAGCCAGGCUUGCUACGUGACCCGGACACCAGGCAUACGCUAGGGGCAGUCAGCUGUGCCUUCUCUUUCGGAGUUGUUCCGUGCUCCCACGUGCUUCCCCUCCUCCACUGGCUGGGAUCCCCCGGGCUCGGGGCGCAGACGGAGUCUCACUCUGUCGCCUAGGCUGGAGUGCAAUGGCACACCAUCUCGGCUCACUGCAACUUCCGCCUACCGGAUUCAAGUGAUUCUCUUGCCUCAGCCUCUCCUGCAGCUCCACCACCACUCCCGGCUAAGUUUUGUAUUUUUAGUAGAGACGGGGUUUCGCCAUACUCUCGACUUUCUGACCUCAGGUGAUCCACCCGCCUCGGCCUCCCAAAGUGCUGGGCUUACAGGCAUGAACCACCACUCCCGGCGAGAACUUUUGAGUAAUAAUUUUUCACCAUGCAUCGGAAAAAGGUGGAUAACCGAAUCCGGAUUCUCAUUGAAAAUGGAGUAGCUGAGCGGCAAAGAUCUCUCUUUGUUGUAGUUGGGGAUCGAGG